rnacentral:lncRNA from 1 species
UAUGUUAAAGUUUGCAUUGCAUAAAUUACAUAUAAAACAAAAGAAUAAAGCAUCAAUCAAUCAAGCUCUGAACAAAAAUUUAGAAACCCAGCUUCAAUUUUCUUUGUGUAAGGCUGCAUUACAUAAUUAUAGAUGAAAUACAAAAAUCCCUCAAGUUAUUCCAUCAAUCUUCUGAUCUUAAAAGUGUAGUAAUCAAGUUCCUCAACAAAAUUGAGAAAUCCUACAUUAAAUUUAUAAGAUCGCAUUACAUAAAUUACAGAUGAAAUUAAUACAAACACAAAUCAAUUUUGUCAUGAUCUAAGUUCCCCAGAAAAAAAUUGAGAAACCCAGCUUUAAAUUUCUAAUUUAAGGUUUGGAUUACAUAAAUUACAGAUGAAAUACAAAGAAAGAUCAAUUUAUUGAACAAUCUUGUUAUCUUAGAAGUGCACAUUCCUGUUCCCAAAUAACAAAAUCUAGCUAAUCAGCAAGAAAUAACCGAAUCCCAACGAGAACUAAAAAUAGAAACAUCAAAUCCAGACAGAGAUAGAAAGCGAUACCUGAUAGAAAAUGACUGGAGUACUAAACUCUUGGUUGAAAAAGAUCAGAAACAAACAGUAUUCCAAGACAGAAAAGGAGAGAUUUUAUUGGAUAAUUUAAAGAGCAUUUGAAGUAGUUACUAGUUUAUAAAAGGAAAAAAUGAUAGUGUAUUUAUAAAGGACAAAAUGUAAUGGGACAAAGACAAAGAUUGAGGCUGAUAAGGAAAGAAGAAGCUUAAAGUCAAUUGAAACCGUUAAGCACCCCAAGAAAUUGUGGCGGUCGUGGUUUUAGAUUAUGAACAAAUAGCUUGCACGCAUUCAUUUAAUUCAGAUUGCAGAUGGGUUACGCGGGAAGCAACGUUUUCUGUCUUAUCUUCUCUGCUAUAAGAUACAUAUAUACGUACAGAAAGAUACCGUGGAGUGGGAUUUGACGCGGAAAGAACUGGUGGUAUUUCCUAUUGACUUGGAGUCUUCACUUCGUAAAGAGAGAAGCUACAGCUUGUGGGAAAAUGAUUAUUUUGUUGAACUUGUUAAGGUUUGACUCUUCAAUUUAACGAGUGUCAAACGUAAACGUGUCAAUGAAUCUAGGUCGAGCCGGCUAGUGUCAUGCGCAACCCAAUAAAAAAACUCCAGCUUUUUUAGCCCUGUUGAGCCAAAGCCCCGAUCGAAAUUUAGAGGCUUGACUCAGGCUUUUGGCUCGGGUCGGCUCACAAUUUUUUUUUUUAAAUUCAUGAAAUAUUCAUAUAAAGAAGUAAAAUAAGUUCUCCUUCUCGAUUAAAAUACAAUAAAAAAUAUUUCUAUAGAUACGAGAAUAUAUGAAUUAGAGUACAAUUUUCAAGUGUAUAAAUAUCUUAAUAUUCAUUUGUAGAAUUAAAAAUAUUGGAAUAAAAAAUAUCUUUGAAGUUUCAACACCACAAAAAAAUAAAUAAUAUCAUAUUAACUCCUAUAUAAUUAAAUUUUAAUUUAUAACAAUAAAAUAUAGCCUCUAUUUGGCUCAGAUUUUAAUCUGAAACAAAGUCAAACAAUCAAUAUUAAUCAUAUUUUUCAUGAGCCUCAUAACUUUUCAAUUACACAUUUCAAAAAUUUCUAUCAAAAUCUAAUUUUAAUUCUCACAAAAUACCCUCAUAACGAUAAUACUAAUGAGUAUGAUGAUAAAUUAUAAAUGUAGAUAGUUGUUACAUAAUUAUGAAUAUUAAUUAUGUAAGCAUAUUUUUAUAUGAGUUAAAAAAAAAAAAAUGUAAGAUAAGAACACGGUAUGGACAUGUUAUUAUUAUUAUUAUUUUUUAAUUGCGUAUUUAUGUAUAUUCUAUCAUUAUUUAUGUAUAUAUUUUUAAAUAAAAUCAAUUCUUUUCAUUUUUGUUGAUGAAAUCCUAAAUUGAGUAGUUAUUUGUUAAUUGAAACAAUUAUAAAUUAAUCUGUAUUACAUUUUAAUUAGGAGAAGAAAAUAUACAACAUGGCCCUUGUUUGGGCCUCAUUCUUUUGCAAAAAUUCAUUUUUUAACAGUGUUUUGACAUCAUUUCAACCAUACAUUCUUCAAUAAAAUAAUAUUACACGUAAAUUUAAAAUUUUUUCUUAUUUUUUAACCAUUUUCAACCACUCAAUUUUAAAAAUAAAAAAACUAUUCCAUCCAUUUUAAUUUCAAAAAAAGGGGGUCAAAUGGGGGCAAUAUUUCUUUUGAAAGUGGGGUUGUAGUUUAUUUACUUAUUUAUUUAUAAGUAAAUUUCCUAAGCUUAGCAAACAUGUAGUAUAUGUGUUGAUGGCUUACUUAACUACAUUGUAAUGUCGAUUUGUCCUAUGCUCAAUCCCCAUUUUUUUUUAAAAUCAUUUUUUCAAAACUUAUUUUUAACUACGUAUUCUCUUAUAUAAUAAUUUUACAUGCAAAUUGAAAAAUCUUUCCUCAUUUUUUAACCAUAUAUUCAUCAACAAAAUAUUAGGUCAAAAUGCAUUUUGACCUAAAAAUGGGGCUCAGACAUGGGUUAAAUUGUUAGAGUGAUAGAAAGGAAAAAUAUACAACUAUUAGGGUGCAUUUGAUUGCAAACAUGAAAUUUGUAUGAAAAGAAAAUAAAUUUUAGGUAAUUCAUUUGCCUAGAACUUAUUUGCACGAAAAUUGUUAAUUAUAUAUGUUUGAUUGAUUUAAUUUUCAAUUUACAAAAUAUUAUACGUGUCUGGCUUUUAUUGGUGGGUAAAUAAGAGAGAGAGAGAGAGAGAGUGUGUGUGUGUGUGUGAAUUCUCUGGAAAAAAAAAACAUAUUUCCCCUAAAGAAUAUAUUUUCCUUGAUUUUAAAGAAAAUAUGAUCAUAUAAUAUAAAGUAGGAAAAUGUUUUUUAUGGAAAAAAUGUCAGUCAAACAACACAAAGUAAGAAUUUGAGUGGAAAAAACACAUUUUUCAGGAAAAUUAUUGACAAUCAAACGCACUCUUAAAUUAUAUAAGAAUUACAUUUCAUAACUAACAAUCUUAUGUAAUAGUUUCAAAAAUCAAGUGAUAAAUAUAAUAUAAUCUAAAUUAUGAUAAAAUAAAGUUUAAAAUAGAUCCUAAAAAAUAAAAAAAUAUUCCAUUUAUAAAAGAUAUUUAUCACUCUCUCUCACACAAUCAAACACCGACUUUCUCUCUCUGAACUCUGAAUUUCCAAAAUCUCUCCAAAUCACUAAAAUUUCUCCCUAAAUCUUCGAUUUCGUGCCCCAAUCAAUGUAAACUGGCAAUACAGUUGAAAACUUUUGAAAUUCAUUCUUCUAAAAAAGUUGUAGCUCGUUAUUAGAUUAAUAGGAUUUUCUGAAAGCAAAUACUGUCAUUUCGAGAGAAAUCCUACAUUAAAUUUAUAAGAUCGCAUUACAUAAAUUACAGAUGAAAUUAAUACAAACACAAAUCAAUUUUCUCAUGAUCUAAGUUCCCCAGAAAAAAUUGAGAAACCCAGCUUUAAAUUUCUAGGUUAAGGUUUGGAUUACAUAAAUUACAGAUGAAAUACAAAGAAAGAUCAAUUUAUUGAACAAUCUUGUUAUCUUAGAAGUGCACAUUCCUGUUCCCAAAUAACAAAAUAUAGCUAAUCAGCAAGAAAUAACCGAAUCCCAACGAGAACUAAAAAUAGAAACUUCAAAUCC